UUCGGACUGGGAGCGUACACAGGUGCUGCAUGGCUGUCGUCAGCUCGUGUCGUGAGAUGUUGGGUUAAGUCCCGCAAUGAGCGCAACCCUGCUGCCAGUUGCCAACGGGUGAAGCCGGGCACUCUGGCGGGACUGCCAUCGACAAGAUGGAGGAAGGUGGGGAUGACGUCAAGUCAUCAUGCCCCUUAUGACCUGGGCUACAAACGUGAUACAAUGGCUGGAACAAAGGGAUGCGAAGCAGUGAUGUGGAGCGAAACCCAUAAAAACAGUCUCAGUUCGGAUUGAAGUCUGCAACUCGACUUCAUGAAGUCGGAAUCGCUAGUAAUCGCGGAUCAGAACGCCGCGGUGAAUACGUUCUCGGGGUUU
rnacentral:rRNA from 1 species